AUUGAACGCUGGCGGCAUGCCUUACACAUGCAAGUCGAACGGUAACGCGGGGCAACCUGGCGACGAGUGGCGAACGGGUGAGUAAUAUAUCGGAACGUGCCCAGUAGUGGGGGAUAGCCCGGCGAAAGCCGGAUUAAUACCGCAUACGACCUACGGGUGAAAGGCGGGGGAUCGCAAGACCUCGCGCUAUUGGAGCGGCCGAUAUCAGAUUAGGUAGUUGGUGGGGUAAAGGCCUACCAAGCCUACGAUCUGUAGCUGGUCUGAGAGGACGACCAGCCACACUGGGACUGAGACACGGCCCAGACUCCUACGGGAGGCAGCAGUGGGAAUUUUGGACAAUGGGCGCAAGCCUGAUCAGCCAUGCCGCGUGCGGGAAGAAGGCCUCGGUUGUAA
rnacentral:rRNA from 1 species